UACGUAGGGUGCAAGCGUUGUCCGGAAUUAUUGGGCGUAAAGAGCUUGUAGGCGGUUUGUCGCGUCUGCUGUGAAAUUUCGGGGCUCAACCCCGAACUUGCAGUGGGUACGGGCAGGCUAGAGUGUGGUAGGGGAGACUGGAAUUCUUGGUGUAGCGGUGAAAUGCGCAGAUAUCAGGAGGAACACCGGUGGCGAAGGCGGAUCUCUGGGCCAUUACUGACGCUGAGGAGCGAAAGCGUGGGGAGCGAACAGG
rnacentral:rRNA from 1 species